ACAAAGUAGGGUGAUAAAUGAAGAACAAUGCUUGUUCCAACCUAAGCAAACGCCGUGAAAGGUGUGUUUAUUAGCUUGGUCUGCAGCUUCAGUCCAGUGCUGACAGCCGAGAACACGAAGGAUCAGAAUGUGUCAGCUUUCACCUGGUGCUUCAUGUGCAAAAUCACAGUUGAGAAUGUAGGCUACUUCCUUGGGUCGCAACUUGGGUCCAAUGCUGACAGCCGAGAACAUGAGAGCGUGAAGGAUCACAUCUGUCAGCUGACGCAUGGUGCUUCAUGUGCAAAUGCACGGUUGAUAGUGUGGACUACUUCCUUGAGCACCAAGAAAGGUGUGUUUAAUUGCUUGAUUCCCAGAUGGUAUACCUUGAGCACCAAGAAAGGUUGUUUAAUAGCUUGGAUUUGUCACUCGGGCAGCACCAAGAAGGUUUGUUUGAUUGCUUGAAUCACAGGUGGGAUAGCACCAAGAAAGGUGUGUUUAAUUGCUUGAUUCCCAGAUGGUAUACCUUGAGCACCAAGAAAGGUUGUUUAAUAGCUUGGAUUUGUCACUCGGGCAGCACCAAGAAGGUUUGUUUGAUUGCUUGAAUCACAGGUGGGAU
rnacentral:misc_RNA from 1 species